UUGAAUGCUAAUAUAUCAGAUUAAGCCUUUUGGCCUAAAUAAUGUGCAACAUAUUAAUUUAUUUUCUUUUGGACAUGUAUCACAUAUUCUUAUUCUACCAUAUUGCUAAAUUAGUGUUUCCACAAGGGCUGCUCUGAAAGUAAUGACUCCUUUUCUUAUGUUAGCCCAUGAAGUUAGAAGUAGAUGUUCAUCAUAUGGCUGUAGAGGUUGAAUCUUCCUAACAAUAUUCCAUUACAUUUUGUUGCUGUGUGACUGAUGGCAGCAGAGGACCAGUCUGACAAAAAGGAGUCUGAUGUGGAAAUGCAUAUCAAGCAAAGGUGCAUCACUGAAUUCCUCCACGCAGAAAAAAAUUGCAUCCAGUAAUGCUUGCUGAAUGUUUAUGGAGACCAAACAGUGCAUGCAACUGUGAUGUUCGUUGCUUUAGGGAGCCUGCGGCUUGGCCAUAUACCGAGGUGACACCAAUAUGAUGAGCGGUCAGCACGAUAGCACUGUCUCUCUAUGCUUAGGGAGAGGCCUGUCCCGUACAUCCCGUGCCCCCGCAAGACGCCUACUACAACACUUUCUUCUGAGUAAGACGAGUUUCUUCCCAUAGCUUCUUCAAACAAUAGAAGACUUGACUGUUCUGCUAAAACUGGCAUGCAUAUUCCUUGUCAGCCCAGUAUCAAAGCACUUAUCCAAGAUUUCUGACAGAGGCAGAUAAUGAUUUUCUAGAAAUAUCUGCACCUUAUAAAAGUGAAGUGAGGUGACUUCUGCAUCCCAGGAUGUACUGAGAAAAGUACACAAUAAGUUGUGCUAUAAAUGAAGUGUGCAAAUAUCUGUCUGUCCUUGUUCUGUUAACCUUGAAAAACACAUGACAAAUUUAAUGGGCACAGAUGUCAUCUCUUCCACUAUCCAAGCUUUUACUAAUUGCAGUGUUUCAGGCACUAAAUCAUAAUUAAAUAUACGUAUAUGUAUAUUUCUUUAUGUUCUCACUGAAUCUGGAAUUGUAGAUGGCUGAAUAACAUAAGAAAAGCUAUGACUCCAGCAGAAUGGUCAUUAUGACUGUAUCAGCAAUACAUGUGG
ensembl:lncRNA